UAGGGAAUCUUCCGCAAUGGACGAAAGUCUGACGGAGCAACGCCGCGUGAGUGAAGAAGGAUUUCGGUUCGUAAAACUCUGUUGUUAGGGAAGAAAAAAUGUAUAGUAACUAUAUACAAAAGAGACGGUACCUAACCAGAAAGCCACGGCUAACUACGUGCCAGCAGCCGCGGUAAUACGUAGGUGGCAAGCGUUGUCUGGAAUUAUUGGGCGUAAAGCGCGCGCAGGUGGUUUAGAAAGUCUGAUGUGAAAGCCCACGGCUCAACCGUGGAGGGUCAUUGGAAACUAAUAAACUUGAGUGCAGGAGAGAAAAGUGGAAUUCCUAGUGUAGCGGUGAAAUGCGUAGAGAUUAGGAGGAAAACCGGUGGCGAAAGCGGCUUUUUGGCCUGCAACUGACACUGAGGCGCGAAAGCGUGGGGAGCAAACAGG
rnacentral:rRNA from 1 species